AUUGAACGCUGGCGGCAGGCCUAACACAUGCAAGUCGAACGAGUGGCGGACGGGUGAGUAAUGUCUGGGCAACUGCCUGAUGGAGGGGGAUAACUACUGGAAAAGGUAGCUAAUAACCCCUACCCUCGAAUGUGCCCAGAUGGGAUUCGCGAGUAGGUGGGGUAAAGGCUCACCUAGGCGACGAUCCCUAGCUGGUCUGAGAGGAUGAACAGCCAAACGGGAACUGAGACACGGUCCAGACUCCUACGGGAGGCAGCAGUGGGGAAUAUUGCACAAUGGGCGAAAGCCUGACGCAGCCAUGCCGCGUGUAUGAAGAAGGCCUUCGGGUUGUAAAGUACUUUCAUCGGGGAGGCGUUACCCGCAGAAGAAGCACCGGCUAACACCGUGCCAGCAGCCGCGGUAAUUC
rnacentral:rRNA from 1 species